rnacentral:rRNA from 1 species
GAUGAACGCUGGCGGCGUGCCUAAUACAUGCAAGUCGAGCGAACAGACGAGGAGCUUACUCCUCUGACGUUAGCGGCGGACGGGUGAGUAACACGUGGAUAACCUACCUAUAAGACUGGGAUAACUUCGGGAAACCGGAGCUAAUACCGGAUAACAUGUUGAACCGCAUGGUUCAACAGUGAAAGACGGUCUUGCUGUCACUUAUAAAUGGAUCCGCGUCGCAUUAGCUAGUUGGUAAGGUAACGGCUUACCAAGGCAACGAUGCGUAGCCGACCUGAGAGGGUGAUCGGCCACACUGGAACUGAGACACGGUCCAGACUCCUACGGGAGGCAGCAGUAGGGAAUCUUCCGCAAUGGGCGAAAGCCUGACGGAGCAACGCCGCGUGAGUGAAGAAGGUCUUCGGAUCGUAAAACUCUGUUAUUAGGGAAGAACAAAUGUGUAAGUAACUAUGCACGUCUUGACGGUACCUAAUCAGAAAGCCACGGCUAACUACGUG